UGUUUGCGGCCAGAUGUUCGCGGGAGGGGGGAGCCUGGGAAAACUCGGCUCGCCUUCCCGCCGCCCUCCCCUGCGGCUGCUGGGGGCGGGCCUGGAGCAAGGUGCGGCUGGUGUGGCCAUCGCCGGGGGCAACUGGGCAGGGGCCGCCGGGGACAGGGACUGAGGGCUUCUCUGGUCGAAGCGUUUAACUACUAGCGAGCCCCUGUACCCUCCGACCCCAACCGUCCCACCGUCUUGCUGUGAAGUACCAGAAAGACAUCUCAGGAACCUGGUGUGAACGCCCCUCCCCGUGUGUAUCAGUGCGGUGUCCUGCACGCGAAGGUGUCAGCGCAGCCCCCCGCCCCGGCUGCAUCACCAGCACCACCACCGUCCUGGCAGCAGCGUGCUGGCUGACGUUUAUUCAACCGUUCUCUGAUUUUGUUCUCACAGCCACCCUCGCGCAAGGUGCUCUGAGUAACACCUCCAAUGGAGGGGCGAGGAACACGGAGGGCCUGAGUGCUAGGUGACUCGGCGAAGGUCGCAGCAACUAUUAGGGGAAAAAUAUUCCAGGCAGAAGUCACAACCAGUGCAAAGGUCCUGAGGCAGAAGUGUGCCUGUCCACAGUUCCUGAGCCUGUCACCUAGCACCAUUCCCAAAGGUAUCCUCCCAGCCACACCGUGACUCCAGUUCUGCAGAUGGGAAAACUGGGGCUUCGGAGUGACCCAGGCAGAGGGGAGCGUGGACCAUAGAACGACACUGGAACACACAGGCUCACGCGCACGUGGGCAGAAAGAAGGUCGAACAGCACGAGUUCCCCAGCUCGUACAAGCAGAGCCUUUGCGAGCACCAUCUUACCAACCGGAACACUUCCGCAGUGCACGCACGCAACCUCCCUCCCUCUCACCUUCUCUCUCUCACCCCCACCAGUGCAGGCGCUUGCUCACAAACUUCUCACAACCACACACACUUACACACACCAAGUUUGUUCCAGAUGCAGAAGCAAACACAACCAGGUAGAAACCCACCUACAGCACCAUCCCACAGAGGAUUCCAGCAUCCCCACGCUCACCCACACGCUUGGACCAUCCCGACACUCACGAGAAUACACGCUGUCUUUCACACACAAGCGGUAGCUGCUGAGAGAACCUGUCAAGCGGAGAGGACCUGGGGCCAGCAGAAGGCGACUCGGCCCCUCCCCCAGCCCCACACCUCGGCAGCUGGCUCUCCAGCCUUGGCCCCCUGGGUUUUCUCCACUCCCCCACCAUCUGUGACACGUGUGUCUUCUCUGCCUCCACCUCCCCUCCCCUACUCCAGGGCCCCCGCUGGACCCUGGGGUAGCCUGAGAAGGGGUGGGCACCUGCCUGCGGGGGAGAGGCACGUGGAGGCCUUAAAUGCAGCGCCAAGGGGCUCAGCCUUAUCUGGGGUGCUCCCUCCCCCCUGGGCUGGUCCCAGGCAGGCACAGGGCCGGGCCACUCCACAGCUUUGAGGAGGGCAGGGCGCAGAGGGGAGGACGGCCCCUUGCAGACCCCAGCGAGCCUCAUCCGGCACCAUGCGGGGGGGUCUGCCUUCACAUGCAGAUGGGCUGUUUGUCUCACUGGGUCUGUCUUAAAAUGAUAAAGAGGUUGGAUGCUGUCUGGGUACCUGAUGAGGUGAUGACAACUGACCAAAAUGGGGAGGGGGAGGUUGUUAACUGUGGAAAGAAAAGAGAUGUCAAAAUAGUAUGCACUGCAGAUAUGAUUUGUGUUAAAAAAUACAUAAUAAACAGAAAAAAAGUCUGAAAUCUAAGUUAAGGUGUUAAUGGCAGUGACCUCUGGAUGGCAGGGUUAUGCUGUUUUAGUUUUUCAUUUUUUUACGUAUACUGUAAUUUUCUACAAGGUAUGUGUAUGCAGCUUCUGGAUAAUAAAAGGUUUUAUAAAUGAGUAUUUAAUGACAGGAAAAAUGACAAGGGGGUGGUGGCCUCCUGGGAGCCCAGAGCCCGGGAAGGCUCCUUAUUGCCGUGUGGGCAGGUCCUUCUCUGUGCCUUUACUUCCUCAUCUGUUGAUGGAGACUCACCACGUGGAGGGGGACGUGAGCGGUAAGGAUGUAAUGCAUGGAAACGCUUGGAGCGGGGCGGCGCACAGUAAAUGCUCAGUGAUGGUGGCUGCUGCCACUCUUCCGAGAAGGCUGUUUACACUGCCCGGUAGAGACUGGACUCCUCCACCAGGAGGGGUGGGUGUGCAUGAGUCCCCUAGGCUGGCUCAUGUGCAGAUUCACACACAUAUAGGUCUGCCCAGGCACAUAUGUGUGCCUUGUGCACACCCAAAGUGUGUACAUUGCAUGAGGCGCAUUGCACUCGUGUGGGGGCAUCAGGCACAUACACAAGUGUGUGCAAACAGGAUCACAGGAUCUUGGCUCUGAGAACACUGGAGCAUGGGACAUUCUGUUUCAACCUCAGUCCUCUAUCCCUGGCACUCUCAGCCCUCUGGUCCCUUCAGCUCAGGGAUGCUGGGAAUUUAGGCUUCUUCCUGGUACCUGACCGGACCCAGGGACCUGGAGGGGGUCUUAGGACAUUUGAAGGGUGGGAGUGGUGCAGACUGAAUAACCUCUAAGAAAGAGGAAAUUGCUAAGUAGAGCCGAGACUCCUGGGUUUGUGGUCCUGCCAUGCUGCAGAGGGACAUCUGGAUGACCCUGGGUCUAUCCUCUGUCCCGCUUUGAGUCCUCGGUCUCUCCCGUGCAUGCACCCAGUGGGUCCUUGCCUGUUUAUCACUCAGAGCAUCAUCAUCAUCAUCACUGGCUUGGAGUCCCCUCCAUGACUUCCUGGCCUUCUCCAUUUGUAAAGCUGAGGAAGAACUAUGUCACGCCCCUGCUGAGAAUCCUUCCUUGGCUCCCCACUGCCUUCAGGAUAAAGCCUCCGCUCCCUGGCCUGGGCUGGUGGGAUCUGCUCCCCUUUCCUCCUCUCUCCUUUCUUUUCUUCACUCUGCUGGCCUUUUCUCUCUGCUCAGACUGGGACCCCCUCCCGGAAGUGGUGACGAAGGGUCAAUGAGGGCAGGGAGCUUCCUCUUCUCUUCUUUGUAUUUAAUUUGAAGUCCAACAAAUUUGCAUUCAAAUCUCAUCUUUGCCAUUUUCUAGUUCUUUGUGACCUAGAAAGGACUGUCUCUGAGUUUUAGAUGCCUCCUUUGCCAGAUGGAGAUAAUAGUUAAUCUUUCUUUUUGGGUUUAUUUUUAUUUUCAACUCUAUCUGUUUUUGAAAAAUACGUUCACUUGGCUCAAAAAUUUAAAAACACAAGAUAUACAAAAGAUUACACAUACAGGAAAAAUUUCCUUCAAGCCACCCCGCUC